GACGAACGCUGGCGGCGUGCUUAACACAUGCAAGUCGAACGGAAAGGCCCUGCUUUUGUGGGGUGCUCGAGUGGCGAACGGGUGAGUAACACGUGAGUAACCUGCCCUUGACUUUGGGAUAACUUCAGGAAAUUGGGGCUAAUACCGGAUAGGAGCUCCUGCUGCAUGGUGGGGGUUGGAAAGUUUCGGCGGUUGGGGAUGGACUCGCGGCUUAUCAGCUUGUUGGUGGGGUAGUGGCUUACCAAGGCUUUGACGGGUGGCCGGCCUGAGAGGGUGACCGGCCACAUUGGGACUGAGAUACGGCCCAGACUCCUACGGGAGGCAGCAGUGGGGAAUAUUGCACAAUGGGCGGAAGCCUGAUGCAGCAACGCCGCGUGCGGGAUGACGGCCUUCGGGUUGUAAACCGCUUUCGCCUGUGACGAAGCGUGAGUGACGGUAAUGGGUAAAGAAGCACCGGCUAACUACGUG
rnacentral:rRNA from 1 species